CUGAUGCAGCCCACCGCGUGUGUGAAGAAGGCCUUCGGGUUGUAAAGCACUUUUAUUUGGGAGGAAGAUGAAGUAGUUAAUACCUGCUUAGUUUGACGUUACCUUCACAACAAGCACCGGCUUACUCUGUGCCAGCAGCC
rnacentral:rRNA from 1 species